rnacentral:rRNA from 1 species
UACAGAGGGUGCGAGCGUUGUCCGGAAUCACUGGGCGUAAAGGGCGCGUAGGCGGCCUGGUAAGUAGGGGGUGAAAUCCCGUGGCUCAACUGCGGGACGGCCUCUUAGACUGCCUGGCUCGAGCACGGUAGAGGCAGGUGGAAUUCCCGGUGUAGCGGUGGAAUGCGUAGAGAUCGGGAAGAACAUCGGUGGCGAAGGCGGCCUGCUGGGCCGUUGCUGACGCUGAGGCGCGACAGCGUGGGGGAGCAAACAGG